rnacentral:rRNA from 1 species
CGAACGAUGAUGCCCAGCUUGCUGGGCGGAUUAGUGGCGAACGGGUGAGUAAUACGUGAGUAACCUGCCCCUGACUCUGGGAUAAGCCUGGGAAACCGGGUCUAAUACUGGAUACGACUCCUCACCGCAUGGUGGGGGGUGGAAAGGGUUCACUGGUUUUGGAUGGGCUCACGGCCUAUCAGCUUGUUGGUGGGGUAAUGGCUCACCAAGGCGACGACGGGUAGCCGGCCUGAGAGGGUGACCGGCCACACUGGGACUGAGACACGGCCCAGACUCCUACGGGAGGCAGCAGUGGGGAAUAUUGCACAAUGGGCGAAAGCCUGAUGCAGCGACGCCGCGUGAGGGAUGACGGCCUUCGGGUUGUAAACCUCUUUCAGUAGGGAAGAAGCGAAAGUGACGGUACCUGCAGAAGAAGCGCCGGCUAACUACGUGCCAGCAGCCGCGGUAAUACGUAGGGCGCAAGCGUUGUCCGGAAUUAUUGGGCGUAAAGAGCUCGUAGGCGGUUUGUCGCGUCUGCUGUGAAAGCCCGGGGCUCAACCCCGGGUCUGCAGUGGGUACGGGCAGACUAGAGUGCAGUAGGGGAGACUGGAAUUCCUGGUGUAGCGGUGAAAUGCGCAGAUAUCAGGAGGAACACCGAUGGCGAAGGCAGGUCUCUGGGCUGUUACUGACGCUGAGGAGCGAAAGCAUGGGGAGCGAACAGGAUUAGAUACCCUGGUAGUCCAUGCCGUAAACGUUGGGCACUAGGUGUGGGGGACAUUCCACGUUCUCCGCGCCGUAGCUAACGCAUUAAGUGCCCCGCCUGGGGAGUAC